UACGGAGGGUGCAAGCGUUAUCCGGAUUUACUGGGUUUAAAGGGUGCGUAGGUUGGGUAGGAAAAGUCAGUGGUGAAAUCUUCGAGCUUAACUCGGAAAACUGCCAUUGAUACUAUUUAUCUUGAAUACUUUGGAGGUAAGCGGGAAUAUGUCAUGUAGCGGUGAAAUGCUUAGAUAUGACAUAGAACACCAAUUGCGAAGGCAGCUUACUACACAAGUUAUUGACACUGAGGCACGAAAGCGUGGGGAUCAAACAGG
rnacentral:rRNA from 1 species